CAAAAACCUGCAAGGGACAAAUAUUAUACCCACACACAAGUUGGAAAGAAGCAGAUGGAGAUGAGGCAAAUAUCAGUCUCAAAUGCCAACCAAGAGGGCCCUCUCAGUAACUGCGUUGUUAGGUAUAUGCCAUUCAUCGGCAGAUGCUCACUGCUUGUUUGUCAUCAGCCACUCAUAUACUUUGAAUUGAUUGCUAUGUGAAUCAAUGCCAUAAAUGCCUCUAUGCAAGUGACUGUUUGCAGGCUUCGUUACCUUUUCUGCUCGGCACAAGUUUGGAGGUUGAGAAUGCGUUCAUAGAAAAUUAUGGUUUCUGAAUAAAAUGAUGGUCUAUAUAUUUCAGUUGAUUGUAAAUUCUGUUUCCGUCGUCCCAAUAUUCAAAUAUAGUUUCUUUUAGUAAUGUUCUGGUCAUUUAUGGUGCAAUCUUGUUCACAAAGGAAAAUGUAUCUUAAACAGAACACAUCGCAAAACAAAAGCAAACAAAUAAAUAAAUAAAUGUCAUAUACAAUUUCCUACAA